GAAACGUCGAAGUUCUCCUUGUAUUUUUCAGGUAGUUGUAUCCGUAUUAAUCCGAAGCUUUCGUGCAUAUUUCCUCCAGAAUUUCUAGUUGUUUUCAAUCGAUUUCGGUGUAAAAAGUAUCAAAUUUUCGACGAGAAAUUCCAAAUACUUUGUUUAUAUAGAACUCACGUUGGAAAUCCAACGUACUAUCUGCCGUUAGCCAAUCACAGGC